AUUGAACGCUGGCGGCAGGCCUAACACAUGCAAGUCGAGCGGAUGAAGGGAGCUUGCUCCUGGAUUCAGCGGCGGACGGGUGAGUAAUGCCUAGGAAUCUGCCUGGUAGGGGGGGAUAACGUCCGGAAACGGGCGCUAAUACCGCAUACGUCCUGAGGGAGAAAGUGGGGGAUCUUCGGACCUCACGCUAUCAGAUGAGCCUAGGUCGGAUUAGCUAGUUGGUGGGGUAAAGGCCUACCAAGGCGACGAUCCGUAACUGGUCUGAGAGGAUGAUCAGUCACACUGGAACUGAGACACGGUCUAGACUCCUACGGGAGGCAGCAGUGGGGAAUAUUGGACAAUGGGCGAAAGCCUGAUCCAGCCAUGCCGCGUGUGUGAAGAAGGUCUUCGGAUUGUAAAGCACUUUAAGUUGGGAGGAAGGGCAGUAAGUUAAUACCUUGCUGUUUUGACGUUACCAACAGAAUAAGCACCGGCUAACUUCGUG
rnacentral:rRNA from 1 species